rnacentral:rRNA from 1 species
GACGAACGCUGGCGGCGUGCUUAACACAUGCAAGUCGAACGGAAAGGCCCUGCAGUUGUGGGGUGCUCGAGUGGCGAACGGGUGGGUAACACGUGAGUAACCUACCCUUGACUUUGGGAUAACUUCCGGAAACUGAGGAUAAUACCGGAUACGAGCUCCUUCUGCAUGGUGUGGGGUGGAAAGUUUCGGCGGUUGGGGCUGGACGCGCGGCAUCUCAGCUUGUUGGUGGGGUAGUGGCGUACGAAGGCUUUGACGGGUAGCCGGCUUGGGAGGGUGACCGGCCCCAUAGGGACUGGGGUACGGGCAGUAGUCAUACGUGCGGAAGCAGUGGGGAACAUUGCACAAUGGGCGGAAGCCGGAAGCAGCAACGUCGCGUGCGGGAUGACGGCCUUCGGGGUGGAAACCGCUUUCGCCGGAGACGAAGAGUGAGUGACGGUAACGGGUAAAGAAGCAACGGCUAACUACGUG